GAUGAACGCUGGCGGCGUGCCUAAUACAUGCAAGUCGAGCGAACGGACGCGAAGCUUGCUUCUCUGAUGUUAGCGGCGGACGGGUGAGUAACACGUGGAUAACCUACCUAUAAGACUGGGAUAACUUCGGGAAACCGGCGCUAAUACCGGAUAAUAUUUUGAACCGCAUGGUGCAAAAGUGAAAUACGGUCUUGCUGUCACUUAUAGAUGGAUCCGCGCUGCAUGAGCUAGUUGGUAAGGUAAAGGCUUACCAAGGCAACGAUGCAUAGCCGACCUGAGAGGGUGAUAGGCCACACUGGAGCGGAGACACGGUCCAGACUCCUACGGGAGGCAGCAGUAGGGAAUCUUCCGCAAUGGGCGAAAGCCUGACGCAGCAACGCGGCGUCAGUGAUGAAGGUCUUCGGAUCGUAAUACUGUGUUAUUAGUUAAGAACAGAUGUGUAAGGAACUGAGCACAUCUUGACGGUAACGAGUCAGAAAGCCCCGGCUAACUACGUG
rnacentral:rRNA from 1 species